CCUACGGGAGGCAGCAGUGAGGAAUAUUGGUCAAUGGACGAGAGUCUGAACCAGCCAAGUAGCGUGAAGGAUGACUGCCCUAUGGGUUGUAAACUUCUUUUAUAUUGGAAUAAAAUGUUCCACGUGUGGGCUUUUGUAUGUACCAUAUGAAUAAGGAUCGGCUAACUCCGUGCCAGCAGCCGCGGUAAUACGGAGGAUCCGAGCGUUAUCCGGAUUUAUUGGGUUUAAAGGGAGCGUAGGUGGAUUGUUAAGUCAGUUGUGAAAGUUUGCGGCUCAACCGUAAAAUUGCAGUUGAAACUGGCAGUCUUGAGUACAGUAGAGGUGGGCGGAAUUCGUGGUGUAGCGGUGAAAUGCUUAGAUAUCACGAAGAACUCCGAUUGCGAAGGCAGCUCACUGGACUGCAACUGACACUGAGGCUCGAAAGUGUGGGUAUCAAACAGGAUUAGAUACCCGUGUAGUC
rnacentral:rRNA from 1 species